rnacentral:lncRNA from 1 species
CAGGACUGUGGGCAAAUCUUUUAUUUUGAUUUCUGCUUAUGUUUUUAGAAAGUUAUCUGUAUAAAACAUACAACUGCUGCCAGGCGCAAUGGCACACCACAGUAGUCCCAUAUACUUGGGAGACUGAAGUGGGAAGAUUGCAUGAGCCCUGUAGUUUGAGGUUGCAGGGAGCUAUCAUCAUGUCACUAUACUGGGUGACAAUAAAACCCUGUCUCUUAAGAAAAAGAAAAUGCAAACGCUAAUAUACACUCAAUUCAAGAUACAGCAAAAGGGGAAAAAACAAAGUAUCUUGACAGACCAUUAAAAAUGAUGAAACCUUACCUUAGUUGAACCUUGUAGAUCAUUAAUGGUAUCAGGGAUCUCGGUAACAGUGUAAUCUGAAAUCAGCUUAGCUGAAACCAAGUCCUGUAGCAUCAGACCUUUAAGAGAGACACAGAUGAAGGGCACUUGCAUUCUGCUGUCAGCACACCUGCUAACACAUCUCACUGUGCUGACCCCACCCAGUCCUGCAGUGGACAGUCACCACAGGGGUUGCUGUCUCAGUGAUUCCUGACCCCAACACUACUGGACCAUUCUCAGACCCAGGGCCUCCACCCAUUUAUUAAACAAUGCCGCUUCAUAAACGAGACUUCCUUCACAAACCAUCUUCUACUUCCUUCUCAACGGCGUCCCCUCCUGGGCUAGGCACAAGAACCACCAGAGGAAGCGCGGGCUGGAAGGGCUUAGCCUGCAGGAGCUGCUUGAGCUGCAGCAAGGCCGACAGCCAGUACACGUCCUCCUCUGCCAUGUCCUCACUCUUCAUUUUGGGGGGAAGCAGCAGCAUGAGCCCACUGGCUCCCAGGAGGUCCUUCUGUGUCUCCACAGCAUCAAUGGCACCAUCACUGAGGGCGCCAUGGGCCACCUGCAACAGCAUCAAGAUCAUCAGGAGAGAUGCACCAUGGGAUGCAUCAGCAGUGAUUGAUCUGCCCCAGAGCAAGUGCAGCCAAAGCUCUCCAUGCACUAAAUAUUGACUGUACUCCAGACAGGCCUCCAAGGGCACAGCUGGGCACCCCUCUUUCCCUAAAUCCAAUUGUUAGCAAAGACUCCCCUCAACCUCACCUUUAUACACACGUUAACAGAAAUCAUCUGAUCUCCUUUGCUGCUAAGCGAGUUGAAAAGCGAAAGCGUUUGAAUCCCACCAGCAUCGCUGGAUGUGUCAUCCACUGAGCCUUCAUCUCCCAUGAACUUGACUUUUAACCAAUUUGCUAGAAUUCUACAGAUUUUAAAAAAACAAAAAACAAAAAAAAAACACUUGAAGAAUCUAAUUCUAAAUUUGAAUUAUAAAGACUUUCAGGAAAAGAAGAAAGAGAAAUAUCACACAGACCUAGGU